GCGGAUGUGGUGUAAUUGGUAGCCACGCCAGACUUAGGAUCUGGUGCCGCGAGGCGUGGGGGUUCGAGUCCCUUCAUCCGCA
rfam:Mucinivorans hirudinis complete genome